rnacentral:lncRNA from 1 species
UCAGAUACAUCUAUAUGCAAUAGAUCAGCAAUCUCUUAGGAAGAAGGAACUCUCUCCAAGCCAUUGAACGGCAACUGAUCUAAGAUAGGUAUACCCACAAGAUAGGUAUACUCCUAAAGCGUAGGCAAAAGCUGGAAAUCCGGGAAAGUGAAGCAACGAUACAAGGGAUCAUAGAACUGCACCAACACACUCAUCAGACCUUCAUCCACCUGAGUAGCAAGAAUAGACAGA